UAGAGAUUUAGUUUCUUCUUCUUGUCAAACCUACUAAUUCCCUUGAAGGAGUGACCUUAAGGAACACCCGAUCACCUUUCUCAAAUUUCAAAUCCCUCCUACGGGUAUCCGCAUAACUCUUCUGCUUGCUUUGAGCCGUCUGAAUAUUUUUCUUGAUCUUAACUAUUUUGGUUGUAGUCUCUUCUAUAAGAUCUGGACCGAACAAUUUUCUAUAACCCACUUCUUUCCAACAGAUCGACAAUCUGCAUGGACGGCCAUACAACGCCUCAUACGGAGCCAUGCCAAUACUUGCU
rnacentral:lncRNA from 1 species